rnacentral:rRNA from 1 species
UUAAAUUGAAGAGUUUGAUCAUGGCUCAGAUUGAACGCUGGCGGCAGGCCUAACACAUGCAAGUCGAACGGUAACAGGGAUCAGCUUGCUGAUUCGCUGACGAGUGGCGGAC